rnacentral:rRNA from 1 species
GCAUACGCUUGUCUCUGUGAGGGAGAUGAGGAAAGUUGGCCUCUGCGUGCAAGCUGAUGGCGUGAGACGGGGAUGCGUCCUAUUAGCUAGCUGGUGGGGUAAUGGCCUACCAGGGCGACGAUGGGUAGCUGGUCUGAGAGGAUGAUCAGCCACACUGGGACUGCGACACGGCCCAGACUCCUACGGGAGGCAGCAGUGGGGAAUUUUGCCCAAUGGGCGCAAGCCUGAGGCAGCAACGCCGCGUGAGUGACGACGCCUUUCGAGGUGUAAAGCUCUGUCGAACGGGACGAAGGCGUGAGGGUGAACAGCUUUCGCGAAUGACGGUACCGUUGGAGGAAGCCCCGGCUAACUCCGUGCCAGCAGCCGCGGUAAGACGGAGGGGGCGAGCGUUGUUCGGAAUUACUGGGCGUAAAGCGCGCGUAGGCGGUGCAGCAAGUGAUGAGUGAAAGCCCUCGGCUUAACCGAGGAAGGGCUUGUCAGACUGCUGGACUAGAGUGCCGGAGGGGGAGGCGGAAUUCCUGGUGGAGCGGUGAAAUGCGUAGAGAUCAGGAAGAACGUCGGUGGCGAAGGCGGCCUCCUGGACGGACACUGACGCUGAGGUGCGACAGCGUGGGGAGCGAACGGGAUUAGAUACCCCGGUAGUCCACGCCGUAAACGAUGGGUACUGGGUGUGGGGGUCGUGAUGACGUCCGUGCCGGGAGCUAACGCAGUAAGUACCCCGCCUGGGGAGUACGGUCGCAAGGCUGAAACUCAAAGGAAUUUGACGGGGGCCCGCACAAGCGGUGGAGCAUGUGGUUUAAUUUCGACGCAACGCGCAGAACCCUUACCCAGGUUUGACAUGCACGGGACCGACCGUGAGGAGCGGUUUUUUCUUUACGACCCGGUGCACAGGUGCUGCAUGCUGUCGUCAGCUCGUGUCGUGAGAUGUUGGUUUAAGUUCCCGCACGAGCGCAACCCCUGCCGUAGUGCAACAGUUGAGCUGGGACUCUACGGGACUAUCCGGUGGUGAACGAAGAACGGUGGGAUGGACGUUCGAAGUCUAUGACCUAGACCUUGAGCGACCACUACUCAAUGGACGAACACGGGGACUGAU